rnacentral:rRNA from 1 species
GACGAACGCUGGCGGCGUGCCUAAUACAUGCAAGUAGAACGCUGAAGGAGGAGCUUGCUCUUCUGGAUGAGUUGCGAACGGGUGAGUAACGCGUAGGUAACCUGCCUGGUAGCGGGGGAUAACUAUUGGAAACGAUAGCUAAUACCGCAUAAGAGUAGAUGUUGCAUGACAUUUGCUUAAAAGGUGCAAUUGCACCACUACCAGAUGGACCUGCGUUGUAUUAGCUAGUUGGUGGGGUAACGGCUCACCAAGGCGACGAUACAUAGCCGACCUGAGAGGGUGAUCGGCCACACUGGGACUGAGACACGGCCCAGACUCCUACGGGAGGCAGCAGUAGGGAAUCUUCGGCAAUGGACGGAAGUCUGACCGAGCAACGCCGCGUGAGUGAAGAAGGUUUUCGGAUCGUAAAGCUCUGUUGUAAGAGAAGAACGAGUGUGAGAGUGGAAAGUUCACACUGUGACGGUAUCUUACCAGAAAGGGACGGCUAACUACGUGCCAGCAGCCGCGGUAAUACGUAGGUCCCGAGCGUUGUCCGGAUUUAUUGGGCGUAAAGCGAGCGCAGGCGGUUAGAUAAGUCUGAAGUUAAAGGCUGUGGCUUAACCAUAGUACGCUUUGGAAACUGUUUAACUUGAGUGCAAGAGGGGAGAGUGGAAUUCCAUGUGUAGCGGUGAAAUGCGUAGAUAUAUGGAGGAACACCGGUGGCGAAAGCGGCUCUCUGGCUUGUAACUGACGCUGAGGCUCGAAAGCGUGGGGAGCAAACAGG